UACGUAGGGGGCAAGCGUUAUCCGGAUUUACUGGGUGUAAAGGGAGCGCAGACGGCAGAUCAAGUCUGAUGUGAAAUCCCGGGGCUCAACCCCGGAACUGCAUUGGAAACUGGUCAGCUGGAGUGUCGGAGAGGUAAGCGGAAUUCCUAGUGUAGCGGUGAAAUGCGUAGAUAUUAGGAGGAACACCAGCGGCGAAGGCGGCUUACUGGACGAUCACUGACGUUGAGGCUCGAAAGCGUGGGGAG
rnacentral:rRNA from 1 species